AGUCGAGCGGUAGCACAGAGAGCUUGCUCUCGGGUGACGAGCGGCGGACGGGUGAGUAAUGUCUGGGAAACUGCCUGAUGGAGGGGGAUAACUACUGGAAACGGUAGCUAAUACCGCAUAAUGUCGCAAGACCAAAGUGGGGGACCUUCGGGCCUCAUGCCAUCAGAUGUGCCCAGAUGGGAUUAGCUAGUAGGUGGGGUAACGGCUCACCUAGGCGACGAUCCCUAGCUGGUCUGAGAGGAUGACCAGCCACACUGGAACUGAGACACGGUCCAGACUCCUACGGGAGGCAGCAGUGGGGAAUAUUGCACAAUGGGCGCAAGCCUGAUGCAGCCAUGCCGCGUGUGUGAAGAAGGCCUUCGGGUUGUAAAGCACUUUCAGCGGGGAGGAAGGCGUUAAGGUUAAUAACCUUGGCGAUUGACGUUACCCGCAGAAGAAGCACCGGCUAACUCCGUGCCAGCAGCCGCGGUAAUACGGAGGGUGCAAGCGUUAAUCGGAAUUACUGGGCGUAAAGCGCACGCAGGCGGUCUGUCAAGUCGGAUGUGAAAUCCCCGGGCUCAACCUGGGAACUGCAUUCGAAACUGGCAGGCUAGAGUCUUGUAGAGGGGGGUAGAAUUCCAGGUGUAGCGGUGAAAUGCGUAGAGAUCUGGAGGAAUACCGGUGGCGAAGGCGGCCCCCUGGACAAAGACUGACGCUCAGGUGCGAAAGCGUGGGGAGCAAACAGGAUUAGAUACCCUGGUAGUCCACGCCGUAAACGAUGUCGAUUUGGAGGUUGUGCCCUUGAGGCGUGGCUUCCGGAGCUAACGCGUUAAAUCGACCGCCUGGGGAGUACGGCCGCAAGGUUAAAACUCAAAUGAAUUGACGGGGGCCCGCACAAGCGGUGGAGCAUGUGGUUUAAUUCGAUGCAACGCGAAGAACCUUACCUGGUCUUGACAUCCACAGAACUUACCAGAGAUGGAUUGGUGCCUUCGGGAACUGUGAGACAGGUGCUGCAUGGCUGUCGUCAGCUCGUGUUGUGAAAUGUUGGGUUAAGUCCCGCAACGAGCGCAACCCUUAUCCUUUGUUGCCAGCGGUUCGGCCGGGAACUCAAAGGAGACUGCCAGUGAUAAACUGGAGGAAGGUGGGGAUGACGUCAAGUCAUCAUGGCCCUUACGACCAGGGCUACACACGUGCUACAAUGGCAUAUACAAAGAGAAGCGACCUCGCGAGAGCAAGCGGACCUCAUAAAGUAUGUCGUAGUCCGGAUUGGAGUCUGCAACUCGACUCCAUGAAGUCGGAAUCGCUAGUAAUCGUAGAUCAGAAUGCUACGGUGAAUACGUUCCCGGGCCUUGUACACACCGCCCGUCACACCAUGGGAGUGGGUUGCAAAAGAAGUAGGUAGCUUAACCUUCGGGAGGGCGCUUACCAC
rnacentral:rRNA from 1 species